GACGAACGCUGGCGGCGUGCCUAAUACAUGCAAGUCGAACGGAGUGGGGACGGGUGAGUAAAACGUGGGUAACCUCCCAUCAGAGGGGAUAACACUUGGAAACAGGCGCAUAACCGGAACUGAUGGAUGGAGCCGGGGUGAAUUAGCUAGUUGGUGAGGUAACGGCUCACCAAGGCUACGAUGCAUAGCCGACCUGAGAGGGUGAUCGGCCACACUGGGACUGAGACACGGCCCAGACGCCUACGGGAGGCAGCAGUAGGGAAUCUUCGGCAAUGGGCGAAAGCCUGACCGAGCAACGCCGCGUGAGUGAAGAAGGUUUUCGGAUCGUAAAACUCUGUUGUUAGAGAAGCGGUAUCUAACCAGAAAGCCACGGCUAACUACGUGCCAGCAGCCGCGGUAAUUC
rnacentral:rRNA from 1 species